rnacentral:rRNA from 1 species
CGGAGGGUGCGAGCGUUAUCCGGAAUUACUGGGUUUAAAGGGUGCGUAGGCGGCUUGGUAAGUCAGGAGUGAAAGUUUGCGGCUCAACCGUAAAAUUGCUUUUGAUACUGCCAUGCUAGAAUUAGGAUGAGGUCAGCGGAAUGUGGCAUGUAGCGGUGAAAUACAUAGAUAUGCCAUAGAACACCAAUUGCGAAGGCAGCUGGCUAGACCUGGAUUGACGCUGAGGCACGAAAGCGUGGGGAUCGAACAGGAUUAGAUACCCUGGUAGUCCACGCCCUAAACGAUGCUCACUCGACGUAUGAUAUUUAUUAUCGUGCGUCCAAGGGAACCGUUAAGUGAGCCACCUGGGGAGUACGACCGCAAGGUUG